UCUUCGGCAAUGGACGAAAGUCUGACCGAGCAACGCCGCGUGAGCGAUGAAGGCCUUCGGGUCGUAAAGCUCUGUCCUCAAGGAAGAUAAUGACGGUACUUGAGGAGGAAGCCCCGGCUAACUACGUGCCAGCAGCCGCGGUAAUACGUAGGGGGCUAGCGUUAUCCGGAAUUACUGGGCGUAAAGGGUGCGUAGGUGGUUUCUUAAGUCAGAGGUGAAAGGCUACGGCUCAACCGUAGUAAGCCUUUGAAACUGGGGAACUUGAGUGCAGGAGAGGAGAGUGGAAUUCCUAGUGUAGCGGUGAAAUGCGUAGAUAUUAGGAGGAACACCAGUUGCGAAGGCGGCUCUCUGGACUGUAACCGACACUGAUGCUCGAAAGUGUGGGUAUCAAACA
rnacentral:rRNA from 1 species